rnacentral:rRNA from 1 species
GACGAACGCUGGCGGCGUGCCUAAUACAUGCAAGUAGAACGCUGAAGAGAGGAGCUUGCUCUUCUUGGAUGAGUUGCGAACGGGUGAGUAACGCGUAGGUAACCUGCCUUGUAGCGGGGGAUAACUAUUGGAAACGAUAGCUAAUACCGCAUAACAAUGGAUGACACAUGUCAUUUAUUUGAAAGGGGCAAUUGCUCCACUACAAGAUGGACCUGCGUUGUAUUAGCUAGUAGGUGAGGUAAUGGCUCACCUAGGCGACGAUACAUAGCCGACCUGAGAGGGUAAUCGGCCACACUGGGAAUGAGACACGGCCCAUACUCCUACGGGAGGCAGCAGUAGGGAAUCUUCGGCAAUGGGGGCAACCCUGACCGAGCAACGCCGCGUGAGUGAAGAAGGUUUUCGGAUCGUAAAGCUCUGUUGUAAGUCAAGAACGGGUGUGAGAGUGGAAAGUUCACACUGUGACGGUAGCUUACCAGAAAGGGACGGCUAACUACGUG